UACGUAGGGUGCAAGCGUUGUCCGGAAUUAUUGGGCGUAAAGGGCUCGUAGGCGGUCUGUCACGUCGGGAGUGAAAACUCAGGGCUUAACCCUGAGCCUGCUUCCGAUACGGGCAGACUAGAGGUAUGCAGGGGGAGAACGGAAUCCUGGUGUAGCGGUGAAAUGCGCAGAUAUCAGGAGGAACACCGGUGGCGAAGGCGGUCUCUGGGCCGAUACUGACGCUGAGGAGCGAAAGCGUGGGGAGCGAACAGG
rnacentral:rRNA from 1 species